GACGAACGCUGGCGGCGUGCUUAACACAUGCAAGUCGAGCGGUAAGGCCCUUUCGGGGGUACACGAGCGGCGAACGGGUGAGUAACACGUGGGUGACCUGCCCUCAGCUCUGGGAUAAGCCUGGGAAACCCGGGUCUAAUACUGGAUAUGACUCCAUGACGCAUGUUAGUGGGGUGGAAAGCCUUGUGCGGCUGAGGAUGGGCCCGCGGCCUAUCAGCUUGUUGGUGGGGU
rnacentral:rRNA from 1 species